rnacentral:rRNA from 1 species
UUGUUCAGUCAAUAUUUUCUUAGCAUUUUAGAUUUUGCUUGGCUUAUUGAAAGAAUUAUAACUUAUAUUCUUCAUUCUGGUUGAAAUCUUGAUUACAACUUGUAAUCCCAGGAAUAAAUUCCCAAUGGUCAUGAAGGACUUCUCGACUGUGGUGUAGAUGAUGGAGGUGAUGGUCUUCCCCUUC